rnacentral:rRNA from 2 species
UGGGGAAUUUUGCGCAAUGGGCGAAAGCCUGACGCAGCAACGCCGCGUGCGGGAUGACGGCCUUCGGGUUGUAAACCGCUUUCAGUGGGAAAGAUUAUGACGGUACCCACAGAAGAAGCUCCGGCUAAAUACGUGCCAGCAGCCGCGGUAAUACGUAUGGAGCAAGCGUUAUCCGGAUUUAUUGGGCGUAAAGCGCGCGUAGGCGGCUUGUUAAGCAAGAUCUCAAAUCUGAGGGCUCAACCUUCAGCCGGAUUUUGAACUGGCAGGCUCGAGUUUGGUAGAGGAAAGUGGAAUUCCCAGUGUAGCGGUGAAAUGCGCAGAUAUUGGGAAGAACACCAAUGGCGAAGGCAGCUUUCUGGGCCAUAACUGACGCUGAGGUGCGAAAGCUAGGGGAGCAAACAGG